GCAUGUGUUGCGUGAUGGCCGUGUUGGCCGUGCGCAGCCGCCGCGUACUGGCCGUGACGCACUAGGCGCGCAUGCUGGCCGUGCUGUCCGCCACCGAUGCAUGAGUGGCCGCCGCCGAUUUGAUUCGUCUUAUGUUGCACCGCGUGCUCUGGAGGUAUCAUUCACGAAGUGUUUGUUGAAAUGCGUGUAAGAUGAAGGGUCAGAGUAAGGAUCGUGGUUGGAUGUAAGCAAAAAUAAGUAUUCAAAGCAGACACUCUCAGACGCUGAUCGGGCCGUUUGAGGUACAAGAUUAGCAUAUUGUGGCAGCAGAUGCUCUAAUCUAUUGGAGUUUUCUUCAGGCUUGCGGUGUUGUUGUCUCCUUGUGUUCUCCACCCAUUUGGUGAGGAGACAAGAGGAUUGACAUGGAAAUGCCUAUUGAUAGUGUGUACUUGAUUGCCCUCACCAACACACACUAGCCAGUGGGUAACUCGAUCCUUCGAGCUAACAAGGAUCACAAUGAUUGCAUCAGAGCAACUUCAACGGGGCCGAACUAAAUGGACACACGCUUUUAUCUUUUUUAUCCGUUUAGGUCGGUUCGACGGACAAGUCCGCUUUCGUGAUU
rnacentral:lncRNA from 1 species